GACGAACGCUGGCUGCGUGCUUAACACAUGCAAGUCGAACGGAAAGGCCCUGCUUUUGUGGGGUGCUCGAGUGGCGAACGGGUGAGUAACACGUUAGUAACCUGCCCUUGACUUUGGGAUAACUUCAUGAAACUGGGGCUAAUACCGUAUAGGAGCUCCUUCUGCAUGGUGGGGGUUGGAAAGUUUCGGCGGUUGGGGAUGGACUCGCGGCUUAUCAGCUUGUUGGUGGGGUAGUGGCUUACCAAGGCUUUGACGGGUAGCCGGCCUGAGAGGGUGACCGGCCACAUUGGGAAUGAGAUACGGCCCAGACUCCUACGGGAGGCAGCAGUGGGGAAUAUUGCACAAUGGGCGGAAGCCUGAUGCAGCAACGCCGCGUGCGGGAUGACGGCCUUCGGGUUGUAAACCGCUUUCGCCUGUGACGAAGCGUGAGUGACGGUAAUGGGUAAAGAAGCACCGGCUAACUACGUG
rnacentral:rRNA from 1 species